UAACAUUUGGAAUGAGGGUGUGAGCAACUGCAAAUUCCCAUCUCCCUUCUCAUUCCAGCCUCAUUGUAACACACAUUCUACGCCUAGCCUGGCUUUCUUGCUCUCCCUCAUCUCAUUGUUUAGGAGGCCAAAUCUGAAGUUCUUUCCAGGGAGUGGCUCUGUUCAUCUUAUUCGCCAGCCAAAGUAGGAACAGCAUAAGAAGAGAGAGACACAUUCAGCAGCCAAAGGACUCGGUGGAAAGAGCAGAACACUAUAGACAAUAUGUCGCUCUUGGGACCCAAGGUGCUGCUGUUUCUUGCUGCAUUCAUCAUCACCUCUGACUGGAUACCCCUGGGGGUCAAUAGUCAACGAGAAGACUAUGUGACUCAAGCGACUCCAGAAACAUUCACAGAAGAUCCUAAUCUGGUGAAUGAUCCCGCUACAGAUGAAACAGUUUUGGCUGUUUUGGCUGAUAUUGCACCUUCCACAGAUGACUUGGGUCCUAAGUGAGGCAGUGUGGCAGUUACAGAAGUAGUAACUUCUA
rnacentral:sRNA from 1 species